GCGGCGAAACCGAUUCGUCAGUGAUCGUUGUCCGUCGGGAUAUCAGUAUAUGUGCGGGACCGGUUGUCGAGUGGUCGUUUUUGCUCGAGAGUCGUGUUUAGUGCGUGUGUUUAGACGAAUUUUUUUCGGGAAUUUAUAUACGGUGUAGUGUAUUUUCGACGUCUGUUCCAUUCAUACGAAUACCACGGGUGCGCGAGGUGUACCGCGAAGUCAUCCGAUACGGAGCAUAAUAAAUAAUAUAUGAUUUAUUGUUGGAACUUACUAUAGUUUCGUUUAGCGGUAUCUCUUGAAAUAAUAUGGGCCCUACGGUAGCGGCGACUAUAUCUGCGUCGACGGAAUCGUCGGAUGGCGAAAACAGCGCCAAAAAGAAGGGCAUACGGCGACUGCUGACGCCCGCGAUAUUUGCGGGCAGUGACCAUAAGAACAAACAGUCGGCGGCGGCGUCGUCUUCAUCGACGGCGAUGGACGUCGGUAACACUGCCGUUCACAAUCAUCAGCACCGCCAACCCAGCAACAACCGACUGACCUCCAACAAAAAGACCAUUAUUGAGACAGCGUUCGUCAACAACAACGGUAACAGUAAUUCGACGGGAAACGUGGCAUAUCGGUUGCAGCAACAGCAACAGCAAGCGCAACUGCAGCGGUUUCGCUAUGCGCAGGGACUGGAUCGGCACGCAAACGAUGUGACCGACUUCCGUUCGCGGAGCGUCAGCCCCGGAUCGUUCGACCGGGAUGUCAAUGCCAAUUACGGAUGUGGCGAACGUCGGAUGGACAGCCCGUGCUCGUUGUUAUCAUCGUCGUCGACGUCGUCGCUGCUGCCCUCACCGUCGGGCAGGCGGUCUGCUCCCAUAAUACCGUAUUCGCAGUAUUACAACAACAGGAACGGUGGCGGAGGUAGCGGCGGCAGUGGUGGUGGUCAGCAGCAGCAAAGGUUGUUGCUCAUGCCCGUCGGUGCGCAGGUCAAGAUUACCGCGCCGCAAUCGUCUACAGCGGUGUACGCGGCUGCCGUUCGCCAACAUCGACUGCAACAGCAAAAUCAACAACAGCAACAACAACAACAACAACAACAACAACAACAACAACAACAACAGGCUAUCUACGGUAACGUGGCGGCCGGCGCCGUGGGCCCAUUCGUCCGUGGGUCUCCGCACCGAGCCACCAUCGGAUGCGUCCGGGAAUCACCGGGCCGGCAGUCGACCAUUUACGAGACGGAAGAGGAUGUCGUUACGGCUGCCGUCGCCGUGGGCGAGAAGAGGUUUCAGCCGAUUUUCAAGAGGGGUGCUCUGCAAGAACCUGCCACCGACUCGUCACCGAUCACCGGACAGACGCCGUCGCCACAUUCGUCCGGCUGCAGUCCAAAGAGGGUGAGUUUCUCACCGGAGCCGUCCGAACCGCCCGCGUACUGGCCCACUAAGAAGGGCCCAUCUCCACAACCACCCACCCGUCAAAGCUCGACCGACUCACCGGUGGCCGCUGAACGGCCACUACCGCUCGUACCCAAACGGAGCCCGUCCACGUCGGCCAUUUACGGCACGCUGCAGCAGCGCGGUGGCUCCCAGCGAUCGCACCAACAACACCAACAGCAGCCGCCGAAUCGAUGGUGGUCACCAUCGUUGCCGUCGCCAUCGCCGCUGCACCAGCACUACCAACAGUCCGGCAGCGAGUCCGGUAGCGAGGCCGGCGAGGUGCAGCGAAUACUGAAUGUCAAAAACGGUCAUCGGCUGAUCAUCGACGAUGAUUGGAGUGGAGACGGAAAAACCAGAGGGGCUGCUGAACAAGCCGGUGAUGAACUCCGUCGAGGCCGAUCAUCGAGAAGAGACGAUCCUCGGCGGCACACUCUAUCCGGUGAUCAACAUCACAAUUAUCAACCAGCCCUAACGAGAUCUAUGGAUUUAGAGAUGGGAACGAAAAUGCAACGGAAAAAAUCUCCAGCUUCCAGGGGAGGAUAUCCACCAGCUACUGGGAUAUUGUUCGACGACGAUCCGGGUAUAAUGUCUGAAGUUGAAACCAGUUCUACCGGGUUCCGAAGAGGUAACAAGCAGAGGAGUUCAUUGCCAGUCGUCAGAACUCCGUCAAAAACUUUAGAGCGACCAUUGGGUGACCCGAUGUUGAAUGACGAAAUGGCUUUCCGUAAUAUGAUGACUCACCCACGACAAAGUUUAGGUCUCGUAUUCUUGCAAUACCGUAGCGAAACGAAAAGAGCCUUGUUACCAAAUGAAAUCACCUCAAUAGACACAGUUAAGGCUCUGUUUGUCCGGUCUUUUCCAAAACAACUCACCAUGGAAUAUAUGGACUCGGCACUUGUCAAGAUCUACAUUCAUGAUUCGUCAAAAGACAUGUUUUAUGAGCUGGAAGAUCUCAGGUCACACCUAAACGACAUCCGAGAUAGGUCGGUGUUGCGACUUUUUGAGUCAGCCGAGGGUGGUCCUCUACCUCAGGGCCUCACAAUAGCCGCGCCUACGUGGGACCAAGAUCAAUCGUACUUUAGCGAACCAGAAUUCGACUCAGAAUUUCAACAUCAACACAUACACAAGACUAAGGGUAGCAAAUGCACCAGUGGCGGUGCCCCCGGACAACCGUACUACAUGACCCAUCAGUUCCCGCCCGGGUCGUCGGCUACGCUACCCAACAGGGGCCGUCCGCCCACCGGGUCCAUACCGGCCAGGGCUUAUUCGCCAGCCGUGCCGCCGGUUGCGGCCAACAAAUCGUCAGGGUACAUGUCAUCGCCGGAGAGAGCUAAUUCUAGAACUGGGUACACAGCUGCCCCAUACAUGUCUCCGGGGGGUUCUUCGUUCGACGAAAAUUCAUAUUAUGGCUAUGGACCCAGAACCGGGUCUAUUACUCCCGUGAUCGACGAAGAGACUAGUGACAACGAGCUCAUGGAAGACCCGUUUAGCAUGUACGCCGCUAAACCGUCGUCAGUUACCAAAAGACCGACGUAUGGCAAUCCGCCGCCAACCGUCCCCUACGACGCCACCAGGAUACGAGUAGAAAACAUGGAGAGACAGAUUGCUAAUCUAACGGGAUUAGUUCAGAAAGCUUUAACGCACGCACCGGUCGUGGCGCCACCGUUCAGAAAUGCUAGUGAUGAGUUCGAUAAGGUCUCUGUCGGAAGCACUACGUCUCUAGCAGAGGAACCAUACAAGCGGUCUGACACUAAACCUCCUAAACUCGGACGAGACAAAUCAGUUUCGUUUGAGAAAUCUGUAUCGUUCAGCGACGAGCCACCGGACAUGAACUCGCCAAAACAACAUUCGCCACAAAGUUCAGCGGACACGAAACCUGCGAAACCAGCAAUUAAAUCGUCUACAUUACCUAGAACAGCAUCUCAAGAAAAAGACAGAUUUAAGCCUCAUCCUCCGCCUAAGCCGUCCACUAUACCAGGACAAUAUGAUGAAAGACACUUGUACAGUGAUCUACAGCUGACGCCAGAAAUGUAUAAUCAACUCAGAGUUUUGCAGAAAAAAGCAAAAGACUUGCGGCAAGAAGCCCGAAACCUAAGAAGAAUGUCUCAAGCACAAGCCCACUCUAUUCGCGAAACCAUCAAAGACACGUUCAUAAAAAUAAGAGCGUUGAUCGCUUCCGGCGCCGACCAAGCAUGGAGCGAAUCCGGAUCGAAGGAAAGGGCACACGUAGACCGGGAAGAGGACAUUUACAGGCAGGAGAUUAUCAGGCUAGAAACGGACUUGACUGAGCUCGAGAGCACGGUGGAAGAACUACGAGGAAACGUCAUUAACAAAAAGUCCAGAGUAAACAUGUCAGACGUGGAAAACAUGGCGCUUGUGCUCAGCAAAUCCAGUAAAACGGUUGCUGAAUUAAAAUUGAGGUUCCCGAGUUUACAAGAGUCAAUUCGUACAGUAUUAACGAAGGAAAUGGACAGAGCUGUUACAGAGGAAAAGUUUCUUAAAGAAGAGCCCGACCGCCUAGAAAGCGCACUCAAACGAUGUAAAAAAUUAACCGGAACGCUUGUAACACUCAAGAGGCUAGCUUCCGUUCAGGAACAACGUCUGCCCGACGCCAGACUGUCGCCAACCAACGAAGACACUCCGCCGAUCACGCCUACAUCGUCUGCCAAGUGUGUGAAUAAUGCCUGCACAGAUAAUGUAGAUUGUGAGCAAGUAUUGUAAUGUAUAUUUUGCCACAGACGUCCAUUGCAAAUUAACUUGCCAUGUUUCAGAUCAAAUAAACUUUUGGGGAGUAUCGCUGGACAGGGGAGUGUCGUGGAGCAGACCGGAACAGGAACAGACGACGGCGCCGGUGGUGCUGGAAAGCGCGAGCCAACAGGUGCGGAGAACGCACUCGACACUCUGCUAGACGAACUGCAGACA
rnacentral:misc_RNA from 1 species